GGUAAAGUGACGUAGAUCAGUGGAUACACUUGUCUCCCCUUUAAAGGAGACAAUCCAAGUCAUCCUUAAAUAUGGGCAGCAUAUCAGUCUUGGACUGUCUAACCUGCCGGAGCAGCACUGAAUGACCACCACACAUGAGCAUGUUCCUGCAACAUUCAGCAUCUGAUCCUUCAUCUGUGUGCUUCUGCUUUUGUGUCACAUGUCAAACAGCUGGAGAGGAAACUACACCAGUGUACUGGGAUGUUUCACCAACACGUGCCAGAUGCUGUUCCUUCAUGGUGACAUCACAGAGACAGCCCCACCCACCUCAGGACCUCGCCAUUUAUCAUGAUGAUUAUAAUGAUGACAGCGAGCGGAACUAAGACUGUAAAAAUCCAC